GUGCUCCAUUUGACAGCACAUAUACUAAAAUUGGAACAGUAUAGAGAAGAUUAGCAUGGCCCCUGUAUAAGAAUGACACGCAGAUUCAUGAAGCUUCCAUAUAAAUAAAUUUUU
rnacentral:snRNA from 1 species